rnacentral:rRNA from 1 species
UAGGGAAUAUUGGUCAAUGGAUGGAAGUCUGAACCAGCCAUGCCGCGUGCAGGAAGAAGGCCUUCUGGGUUGUAAACUGCUUUUGCCGGGGGAUAAAAUUCUCAUGCGUGGGAAAUUGAAGGUACCCGGUGAAUAAGCCACGGCUAACUACGUGCCAGCAGCCGCGGUAAUACGUAGGUGGCAAGCGUUGUCCGGAUUUAUUGGGUUUAAAGGGUGCGUAGGCGGCCUAUUAAGUCAGUUCUGAAAUAUCCCGGCUUAACCGGGAGGGUGGGAUUGAUACUGAUGGGCUUGAGUGGACUCGAGGUAGGCGGAAUUGACGGUGUAGCGGUGAAAUGCUUAGAUAUCGUCAAGAACACCGAUAGUGUAGACAGCUUACUAGAGUCUAACUGACGCUGAGGCACGAAAGUGUGGGGAUCAAACAGG